rnacentral:rRNA from 1 species
UAGGGAAUCUUCGGCAAUGGACGGAAGUCUGACCGAGCAACGCCGCGUGAGUGAAGAAGGUUUUCGGAUCGUAAAGCUCUGUUGUNNNNNNNNNUACGAGUGUGAGAGUGGAAAGUUCACACUGUGACGGUAUCUUACCAGAAAGGGACGGCUAACUACGUGCCAGCAGCCGCGGUAAUACGUAGGUCCCGAGCGUUGUCCGGAUUUAUUGGGCGUAAAGCGAGCGCAGGCGGUUAGAUAAGUCUGAAGUUAAAGGCUGUGGCUUAACCAUAGUACGCUUUGGAAACUGUUUAACUUGAGUGCAAGAGGGGAGAGUGGAAUUCCAUGUGUAGCGGUGAAAUGCGUAGAUAUAUGGAGGAACACCGGUGGCGAAAGCGGCUCUCUGGCUUGUAACUGACGCUGAGGCUCGAAAGCGUGGGGAGCAAACAGGAUUAGAUACCCUGGUAGUCCACGCCGUAAACGAUGAGUGCUAGGUGUUAGACCCUUUCCGGGGUUUAGUGCCGCAGCUAACGCAUUAAGCACUCCGCCUGGGGAGUACGACCGCAAGGUUG